UCCUAUCCAUGCACCAAAUUGUAAUCCACGCCGAAUAUUUUUGUGCACCACAAAUUCUCCACGCUCCACCAGAUUUUCAAUGUGUUUUAUCCUCUUUAUUUAGUGUGCAAGAAGGCUUUUAAAUCCCCUUGAAUUACCAUGUAGAGCUGGGCGAAAUCCUGGUUGUGGGUGGCAUCCAAAAUUGGAAGAGUCCUUAAUGUUUUGGACUC
rnacentral:lncRNA from 1 species